rnacentral:lncRNA from 1 species
ACUAUCUGACUGGCUCCCCCCCAUCAGUGCUUCCAAUCAUCUUUUAUCAUUUGGACUUCAUUUCUUUUGAAAGACCAACUAAUUAUGACCCGGUAACCACAUCUCCAGUCUAUCAGAAGGUAUUGCAUGUUGAAUAUAUAUUUGAAGUAACAUAAAGACAGCUGGGGACUGUCAUCAAUCCAUUAGGUAGGCAUGGAUCAUUAAACUGGCUUUUUCUCACUUUUACUGCACCAAUCAGAGGUUUGAAAAUGUGAUGAUGCACAUAGAGAAGCUUCAACCUGCAUUGCACUAUUUGAAGGAGAAACUGAACUAUCAGCUCCCAAAUGAAAAUUUCUGGACCACCUCUGCUCUAGAUUCUCACGGUACGAUAUAAAGCUUUGAAAAUUGUGAUUAAAAAAAAAAGAAAAAGUGUAAUUCAAAGGUCUGGAUUCAUGUUGAUCUCACUGGGGGGGGGGGGUGUUUUGGUGUAUUUUUGUUUUGAUGUGCAGGAGCCAAAGUGUACAAAAAAUGAUCCUCCAGCACCUGUGAGAGGAUCGCGGGAGGAAAGAUUUUGGGGAUUCAACUUUUUUCAAAAGUGGUUUCAGCGACUGUCAUUCAGGGACAACAUCCUCCAAUCCCAUGGAACUGUUGGUCAUUUCCGGGUAGCCAUGGCCACCUGUUUAUUGAACUCUUUACUGGGUUUACUGGGGUCUGACUUGUCUCUGACAGGGACUACAAUCUUUGGAUGAAAAAGCGGUGCAUCUUGGGAAAUUUAUAUACGAUCUUGAGGGUAACCCAACCCAGACGUUUGCAAUGAAGGUAAGGAGGACAUUGCAGAGAAGUUUUUUUAUUUAUGGUGCAUAUUUUUCAGAACUAAAGUGUCUCUUUUGUCUUUUGUCUAUGCAGGAUCAUGACAGUAUUCCUUUCAAUUACAUAGACUUGCGAAUUGAAUCCAACUAUGGCCAUGCUGACUACACGUGCUUGUAUGGCUUCAGGGUCCAUGGACAGAUAUAAGAUAUAAUAGUGAGUAAUUAAUAAAACUAAUUAGACUUGAUAAAGUUUUUGUUCCAAGUCAAAUUUCUCUGAAAUUGAUCAAAAAACAUUCUUUUACCAGCAGAAAUGAUUGACGACUCAUGCUACUGAAAUCCGUCUCCGAAUUACACACUAAAACUUGCCCAUCCUGCAGAGAGAGUGCUGAUGAUGUUUGAUGAAUGAAUCCAGGCCAUGAGAAACUGAGCCUGAGCCCACCACAGAUGAUGAUCACGCUGCUGAACUAUUCUGGAACAACUACGUCUGAAAAUGACUGCACGGCUCAGUGGACAUAUUGAAGUGCUCUGAAAGACUAACACCUGCUCAUGUGGACUUCCCCCUCCCCAGCAGCAACAUCAGCCGUCUGAAGGAUCAUGAAUAAUGCAAAGAAACUCAUCAAAUCCAAAGAAAUCAGACGCUACACAGCCCAUAUGCAUUCUGGGCUGGAAAUCAACAAUUGCUGACCGCAGACAUUUCUCCAGCUCGUAAACACUAUCAGACUGCCCCCCCUCCCCCAUCAGUGCUUCC